UACGAAGGGGGCUAGCGUUGCUCGGAAUUACUGGGCGUAAAGGGCGCGUAGGUGGCCUUGUUAGUCAGACGUGAAAUCCCCAAGCUUAACUUGGGAACUGCGUCUGAUACUGCAAGGCUUGAGUUCGGGAGAGGGAUGUGGAAUUCCAGGUGUAGCGGUGAAAUGCGUAGAUAUCUGGAGGAACACCGGUGGCGAAGGCGGCAUCCUGGACCGAAACUGACACUGAGGCGCGAAAGCCAGGGGAGCAAACGGG
rnacentral:rRNA from 1 species